rnacentral:rRNA from 1 species
CCACGGUUCUGCUCAGUACGGCGAGUGAAGCGGCAAAAGCUCAAAUUUGAAAUCUAGCACCUUCGGUGUUCGAGUUGUAAUUUGAAGAUGGUAACCUUGGGUUUGGCUCUUGUCUAUGUUCCUUGGAACAGGACGUCAUAGAGGGUGAGAAUCCCGUCUGAUGAGAUGCCCAUUCCUAUGUAAGGUGCUAUCGAAGAGUCGAGUUGUUUGGGAAUGCAGCUCUAAGUGGGUGGUAAAUUCCAUCUAAAGCUAAAUAUUGGCGAGAGACCGAUAGCGAACAAGUACAGUGAUGGAAAGAUGAAAAGAACUUUGAAAAGAGAGUGAAAAAGUACGUGAAAUUGUUGAAAGGGAAGGGCAUUAGAUCAGACUUGGUGUUUUACGAUUAUCUUCUCUUCUUGAGUUGUGCACUCGUAUUUCACUGGGCCAGCAUCGAUUCGGAUGGCAAGAUAAUGGCAGUUGAAUGUGGCUUCACUUCGGUGGAGUGUUAUAGCUUCUGCUGAUAUUGCCUGUCUGGAUCGAGGGCUGCGUCUUUUGACUAGGAUGCUGGCGUAAUGAUCUAAUGCCGCCCGUCUUGAAACACGGACCA